UGUUACUUGUAAUUAAAGUGCUCUUGAGUAUUAGCAAUAGUGAAAUUUAACGGAUUUGGCGGCAAGAUAGACCAUUUAGAGGAACCUGCCCUGUAAACGAUGRACCACGAGUUACUCUACUUUUUUUAGUAAUCAGUUUGUAUACCGCUGUUGAUAGUUGGUUUCUUUAGAAAACUUUCKAUAAUGAAAAAUUCAUUGACUUCAAGUAAAGGUGCAGCUUAUAAAAAAGAAAGAGGUGGGUUACAAUUAAUAGAGAUUAAUACGGAAAUACUAUGAAAARGUUUUUGAAGGUGGAUUUAAUUGUAAAUUUUGAAAGAAUUUGAUUAGAGCACUAUCUUGU
rnacentral:rRNA from 1 species